ACCCUAUCAAACUUUACUUUAGUUUAACUGGGGCAGUUAAUUAAUAAAAAUUUUAAUAAAGAUUAAGUACUAAAUAGANNNCCCAACANUAGUUGAUUACANUGAACAAGUUACUGUAGGGAUAACAGCGUAAUAUAUAUCUAAAGUUCUUAUUUUGAUAUAAGUUUGCGACCUCGAUGUUGAAUUNAUAUUACUUUCAAGCGCAAGAGCCUGAAAAGUGGGUCUGUUCGACCCCUAAAUAUAUACAUGAUUUGAGUUCAAAUCGGUGUAAACCAGAUUGGUUUCUAUCUAUUNUUAUUUGUGUCUUAGUACGAAAGGACCUGAAACAAUAUUAUAUAAUNAUUUAUAUGGCAGAAAAAUGCUUUAGAUUUAGGAUCUAAUUAUAAUAGAUUAUUAUACUCUAUUUAACUUGCCUAAUCUCUGUUAUUAGAAUCCUUAUCGCAGUAGCUUUUUAUACCCUCCUAGAGCGAAAAAUUCUAAGCUACAUCCA
rnacentral:rRNA from 1 species